CGUAGGGUGCGAGCGUUAAUCGGAAUUACUGGGCGUAAAGCGUGCGCAGGCGGUUUAGUAAGACAGGCGUGAAAUCCCCGGGCUCAACCUGGGAACUGCGCUUGUGACUGCUAAGCUAGAGUACGGCAGAGGGGGUGGAAGUUCCACGUGUAGCAGUGAAAUGCGUAGAGAUGUGGAGGAACACCAAUGGCGAAGGCAGCCCCCUCGGGUCGAUACUGACGCUCAUGCACGAAAGCGUGGGUAGCAAACAGGAUUAGAUACCCUGGUAGUCCACGCCCUAAACGAUGUCAACUAGGUGUUGGGAGGGUAAAACCUUUUAGUACCGGAGCUAACGCGUGAAGUUGACCGCCUGGGGAGUACGCCGCAAGGUUA
rnacentral:rRNA from 1 species